AGAGUUUGAUCCUGGCUCAGAGCGAACGCUGGCGGCAGGCCUAACACAUGCAAGUCGAGCGCACCCUUCGGGGCGAGCGGCGGACGGGUUAGUAACGCGUGGGAACAUACCCUUUUCUACGGAAUAGCCUCGGGAAACUGAGAGUAAUACCGUAUAAGCCCUUCGGGGGAAAGAUUUAUCGGGAAAGGAUUGGCCCGCGUUAGAUUAGAUAGUUGAUGGGGUAAUGGCCUACCAAGUCUACGAUCUAUAGCUGGUUUUAGAGGAUGAUCAGCAACACUGGGACUGAGACACGGCCCAGACUCCUACGGGAGGCAGCAGUGGGGAAUCUUAGACAAUGGGCGCAAGCCUGAUCUAGCCAUGCCGCGUGUGUGAUGAAGGCCUUAGGGUCGUAAAGCACUUUCGCCAGAGAUGAUAAUGACAGUAUCUGGUAAAGAAACCCCGCUAACU
rnacentral:rRNA from 1 species